rnacentral:rRNA from 1 species
AUUGAACGCUGGCGGCAUGCUUUACACAUGCAAGUCGAACGGCAGCGCGGGGCAACCCUGGCGGCGAGUGGCGAACGGGUGAGUAAUGCAUCGGAACGUAUCCUGUAAUGGGGGAUAACCGUAGCGAAAGUUACGCUAAUACCGCAUACGCUCGAGAGAGGAAAGUGGGGAUCGCAAGACCUCACGUUAUAGGAGCGGCCGAUGUCCGAUUAGCUAGUUGGUGGGGUAAAGGCCCUACCAAGGCGACGAUCGGUAGCUGGUCUGAGAGGAUGAUCAGCCACACUGGGACUGAGACACGGCCCAGACUCCUACGGGAGGCAGCAGUGGGGAAUUUUGGACAAUGGGCGAAAGCCUGAUCCAGCCAUGCCGCGUG